rnacentral:lncRNA from 1 species
GCAUUAUUAUAACGUCUAGAAAUCAAAUUUAUAACUUUUCGACAUCAUUUACCUUGUGAUCAAAAGAUCACAAAAUUGAUAAUUUUUAACGGCCGGUAUGGAAUAUUUGCUAGUUCAAUGGUGUAAAAAAAUCGAAAUCGGUUAAAUUUUUGAUAGAAAAUUCUAUUUACUACAUAGAAAAAGAUCAAUAACUCCGAUCUUAAAUUGAAGGAUCUAAUUAUCCAUUUUUAAGACGUCGUUCGAUUUUAACCAUUCAUUUUAUACCGGCUUAAUAAACUUUAUUAUGAUUUCAAAAAAUUACGAAAUUUAUUUUCGACAAGUUUCAAAUACAAAAUUGACAAUUUUUAAUGGCCGGUAUAAGAUAUUUGCUAGUUUAAUGGUGUAAAAGAAUCGAAAUCGGUUAUAUUUUUGAUAGAAAAUUCUAUUCACUACAUAGAUAAAUACCAAUAACUCAAUCUUAAAUUGAAGAAUCCGAUCAUCCAUUUUUAAGACGUCGUUCGAUUUUCACUAUUUAUUUUAUACCCGCUUGAUGAACUUUAUUAUUAUUUCAAAAAAUUAUAAAAUUUAUAUUCUAGAAGUUUCAAAUACUUUAAAUCAUAUUUAACGGAGUGGAUCGUCGAUUCGGAAGCUCCAUCAUUGAAAACAAUUUAUGAGUAUGCCGGGCUCUAUAUUCAUAAGAGUAUAGUAGCCCUAGCCUAUAUAUAUAUAUAUAAUGCAAUUUUUUUCCUAUUUUAACAUAUUAAAAAAUAACAAAAAUCGAAAAUAGGUUCACUCUAUUCUUCAAUUAUUGUACUCAAUUAACAAAACUAGAAGAAAAAAAAAAAGAUCUUCUCAUAUUUUGAAGUCUUAUAAAAUUAUAUGUAGGUGAUGUGAUCAAAAUAGAUGUACAAUUAAAAUGAGGAGAGGGAUUUAUUAUUAUUAUUAUUAUUUUAAAUUAGAAACACUAUAUACAAACUAAUAUAAACCUAAAUCUUAUACCCACCAAUCUAACAUUUUAGACAAUCUUU